AUACGUAGGUGGCGAGCGUUGUCCGGAAUUAUUGGGCGUAAAGAGCAUGUAGGCGGCCUAUUAAGUCGAGCGUGAAAAUGCGGGGCUCAACCCCGUAUGGCGCUGGAAACUGGAAGGCUUGAGUGCAGGAGAGGAAAGGGGAAUUCCCAGUGUAGCGGUGAAAUGCGUAGAUAUUGGGAGGAACACCAGUGGCGAAGGCGCCUUUCUGGACUGUGUCUGACGCUGAGAUGCGAAAGCCAGGGUAGCGAACGGGAUUAGAUACCCCGGUAGUCCUGGCCGUAAACGAUGGGUACUAGGUGUAGGAGGUAUCGACCCCUUCUGUGCCGGAGUUAACGCAAUAAGUACCCCGCCUGGGGAGUACGGCCGCAAGGUUGAAACUCAAAUGAAUUGACGGGG
rnacentral:rRNA from 1 species